rnacentral:rRNA from 1 species
GAUGAACGCUGGCGGCGUGCUUAACACAUGCAAGUCGAACGGAAAGGCCCAAGCUUGCUUGGGUGCUCGAGUGGCGAACGGGUGAGUAACACGUGGGUGAUCUGCCCUGCACUUUGGGAUAAGCCUGGGAAACUGGGUCUAAUACCGGAUAGGACCAUCGUUUAGUGUCGGUGGUGGAAAGUUUUUCGGUGUGGGAUGAGCUCGCGGCCUAUCAGCUUGUUGGUGGGGUAAUGGCCUACCAAGGCGUCGACGGGUAGCCGGCCUGAGAGGGUGUACGGCCACAUUGGGACUGAGAUACGGCCCAGACUCCUACGGGAGGCAGCAGUGGGGAAUAUUGCACAAUGGGCGCAAGCCUGAUGCAGCGACGCCGCGUGGGGGAGGACGGCCUUCGGGUUGUAAACUCCUUUCGCCAAGGACGAAGCGUUUUGUGACGGUACUUGGAGAAGAAGCACCGGCUAACUACGUG